UUUUAAUUAAAAGAAGUCUUUAUAUUGAUGAAUAAAUCAUAGCAGAGAAGUUGUAUAUGUCCAAUUACAUUUAUUGAGCAAUGUCAAAACUUUGGAAGUUAUCCAUGACUAGCAUCAAAUUUGAGUAACAGAUCCCACUAAACAGCAAAUGAUCACACAACUGCACAUUCUGCCAUGCAUGGUUAGUGCACAGAAGGACAGAUGGCUCACAUUGUAUAAUCACCUCAAUAAUGCUGGGAUAUAUAUUUAGAUCAUCUACUAAUGAAGUUUCUUUAUCCCAGGAAAUGAUGGAAGGAUUGCAAUGAGAGCAUCACCAUAUCCAACAGGUUCUGUACAAAAAACAGGCAUGAAGAACUUAUAAUGAACCCAGAUCUUUGAACUUGAAAGAAAACCCACAAUUUGAAAAGACUCAGAAAAAAAGAGUGAACUUACCGCCAUCCUCCCGCAGUAUUUUGAUCACCUCACCUGAUACAUCAGACUGCAAAGGAUGAAAGAAAAUAAGGACUUCAAUUGCAAAUAUUAAUUACAUCCCAUUUGACACUGUCAAAUUGACUUUUGUUUCAACCUUGUUAAACUUUUGGCCCUCAACCUUGAAGGACUGGUUCUAAGAACAUUGAUAAUCACAACAGUGAAAAUAUAAAGUAUAAUUAUACUGUGUUGCACCACAUGGUUGGCCAGUUAUGGCCUAAUUAACUGUGGGGCCAAACAAAGACUUGAUAAGGAACUUGCUUCCCACAUUCAAGACAAUAAUUACAUGAAUUCAAGGUCCAAACCUCAAUUGGAAUCUCGCCGCCCAGCUGUUCAAUGUAGCAAAUCACUUGGCCCUCCUUCACUAUUUGCUUCUGUUGAGCAGAGAAAAGUUAUCAACGUUAGUUGAUAGACUCUGCAUAACUGAUGCGCUACAGCAAAGGAUCAACAUAUGGUCUAUGACAAAGGAUAAACACAAGGUCUAUGAUUAAUUGGCAAGCGCCCAUGAGCAAGGCAAAACAUUUAUUCCAAAAUCAAGCCCCUCGAAUCUCCCGACUAUAUAAUGUAACACUGCUAUUUUCUUGUGCCUUUUCCCCCCCCUUUUUUCACGAAUUGCCACACAUUAAUGAUGCAAUUAAAAAAAAUUCAUUGAAAGGCAGAGAAAAUACAAGGUAAAAAUAUUUGAGCUGAAUUUCUUUCCUAAAAAUUGAAUAGGCACAUGAAGAUCAAGUACAACACUAAAAUUUCUGUGACCAAAUAAAGUGGAGCAGGAAAACUCAAGUACUCAACUUCACAUUUAACUAGCCUUCUGUUCAUAUUUCAAUGAGAUUGUCAUUGACUACAAUGAAAGAAAGUAAUUACAUUCUCUUCACCUCCCCCAAAAAAAAAAGAUAAUAAUAAUAAUAAAAGGAAGAAAAAGAGGAAGAGGAAGAUUAGCAAGAAGUAAAUACAAUAAAUCCAUCAUAAAAUGAGAGUAUAAAAUAAUAAAGCACAAGAUAAGAAGAUCAUCUAAAAAACCCAUAACAAAACCUCUUUUUUUAACUUUUCUUUUAGAUAGAGAAUGAUUAUAUUUCAAAUGAAAAGGAAGCAUUUGUCCAUCUCCUAUAAAUGCAGUUGAUAAUUUGCAUGGUCCUGUCCUAUACAAUACAAUAUUUCUGACAGUAAUUGGUACCUCUUUACAUGAUGGGGGAGCACGUUUUCCCUUUAUAGUUCGAGAUCUUCGGAAAAAACCCACCUGCAUAUUUAUGAUGUUAGUGCCUCAAGCUUGAAGACGCCAAAGCAUUCUUACUUAAGAUUCUCACCCUUGGAGACUGCAAUAUCAUUAAGCCCUCAUCUGCAGCUCUAUCCAGAAAUGAUUUAAUCCCCCCUGAAAAAGGUACUGGUUUGGAGAUGGCCAAAGAUGUAGAAGACACUGACCCAUUUGAAUCAGGUGCCUUGAUACUGGUAUCCACACUGACAGAGGGGGAAGCAGGAGCAGGGGCAGGGGCAGAGGCAGAAGCAAGAGUAGGCAGAGGUGGAACUUUACUUUUCCCAGUUAAGUCCCUCACCACAUAUAGCCUAAAUCCUCCAACUUUCAAUUCAAACUCUGCAAUAGAACUUGUGUUGCAUAUUUCUGUGACCAGAGAUUCAACCUGCAGAAAAAAUUUAAGUGAAACAUGUGUCUCAAAGCCAAAAAGGAACUUCCAAACAUUAUGUAUUUUGCACUAUAAACAGACAUCUUUACACAGACAGAACUCACAUGAUUCUUGAAGGGAAAAGUGAAGGAAAGGUAGUUGGGUGGAUAAAAAUGACAUAAUACAGAAGACAAUGGUUGAACUAACUUUGGGAUAAACAUUUACCCUCACUUUAAUGAUGGAUAGGGAGGAUGUUUAGGGAUAUGAUAGGACAAAAGAGGGCUCAUUACUAUACAAUUUUCCAACAUCUCAUGAAGAAGUUAUAACUUGUAUUUGAUAGUUGAUACUCAGCAUCCUCACCUUCAAUUUCUAUACACACUUGUGGAAUCUGUAUACACAAAAUUUUGUAUCAUAUUCCUUUCUCUAAAAUUCACAGAGCAACACAAGAAACCAUAAGAAUGGUUUUUGUGGAGUCUAAACUAAAAAAUGCACGCUUCUUUCCACAAACAACUCAACUAAGGAUAUACAAAGAUGAGACAGCAAACAAGCCAACCCAAUCCCAAUUUUUCGCUGUUCAAAAUAAGCACAGUAAAAAAUGGGAAUUCACCUGAGAAUUGAACAAUACAAAAAGGAUAUGUUGAAGACUGGCUCAAAGGCAGCCCAACUUUUUAAUGACAAAUUUCUUUCAAACCAAAGCUUAAGCAUAAAUAGCAUAUACAACAAUAAUAGCAACUAAGUCUUAAAACCAAAUUAGCUAGGAUUGGCUAUAUGGAUCUUUUUUCGCCGUUCAGCUUUAUUUAAAAUCAAUUCUGCAUCAAUGUCCAAAAAUUACAAAUAUUUUGAAAUUACUCCCCUCAUUAUUUUAAGUCUUCCCUUUCCCCUUCUCACUUUUUUUCACUACUAAUUUAUCUGGCUUCAAUAUUAGGGCAUUCAAUGCUCUAUGUUGGACAUGACUAAAUCAUCUUAAUCGAUCCUUUCUCAUUUUAUCCUCAAUGUAUUUAUAGUAGAAAUGCGAAUGUGGUCAUUCUUAACCUUAUCAAUUAUCAUGCUACCAGACAUCUAUCUUGACAUUACCGUUUCUCCUACGCUAUGUUAUACCUUAGAUGCCCAACUUUCACUCCCAUGCAACAUAGUUGGUCUGACCAGUCUUAUAGAACUUAUGAUGUGUCCCA
rnacentral:misc_RNA from 1 species